AACGAACGCUGGCGGCAUGCCUAACACAUGCAAGUCGAACGAUGCCUUCGGGCAUAGUGGCGCACGGGUGCGUAACGCGUGGGAAUCUGCCUUUCGGUUCGGAAUAACUCAGGGAAACUUGGGCUAAUACCGGAUAACGUCGCAAGACCAAAGAUUUAUCACCGAAGGAUGAGCCCGCGUAGGAUUAGCUAGUUGGUGGGGUAAAGGCGCACCAAGGCGACGAUCCUUAGCUGGUCUGAGAGGAUGAUCAGCCACACUGGGACUGAGGCACGGCCCAGACUCCUACGGGAGGCAGCAGUGGGGAAUAUUGGACAAUGGGCGAAAGCCUGAUCCAGCAAUGCCGCGUGAGUGAUGAAGGCCUUAGGGUUGUAAAGCUCUUUUACCCGGGAAGAUAAUGACGGUACCGGGAGAAUAAGCCCCGGCUAACUCCGUG
rnacentral:rRNA from 1 species